UACAGAGGGGGCAAGCGUUGUUCGGAAUUACUGGGCGUAAAGGGCGCGUAGGCGGCCCGCUAAGUCGAACGUGAAAUCCCCGAGCUCAACUCGGGAACUGCGUCCGAUACUGGUGGGCUUGAAUCCGGGAGAGGGAUGCGGAAUUCCAGGUGUAGCGGUGAAAUGCGCAGAUAUCGGGAGGAACACCAGUAACGAAGGCGGCUCGCUGGGCCGUUCCUGACGCUGAGACGCGAAAGCUAGGGGAGCGAACAGG
rnacentral:rRNA from 1 species